ACUCAAAGGAAUAGACGGGUCCCCGCACAAGCAGCGGAGCGUGUGGUUUAAUUCGAUGAUACGCGAAGAACCUUACCAGGGUUUGACAUGCAGGUGGUAGGGAUCCGAAAGGUGACCGACUCUUCGGAGAGCCUGCACAGGUGCUGCAUGGCUGUCGUCAGCUCGUGUCGUGAGAUGUUCGGUUAAGUCCGCUAACGAGCGCAACCCUCGUCGUGUGUUACAUGUGUCACGCGAGACCGCCGGUUUCAAGCCGGAGGAAGGUGAGGAUGACGUCAAGUCAGCAUGGCCUUUAUAUCCUGGGCUACACACACGCUACAAUGGCUGGUACAAUUGGUCGCGAAGCCGCGAGGUGGAGCCAAUCCUAAAAACCAGCCUCAGUUCAGAUUGCAGGCUGCAACUCGCCUACAUGAAGAUGGAGUUGCUAGUAAACGCAGGUCAGCACUACUGCGUUGAAUACGUUCCCGGGGAUUGUACACACCGCCCGU
rnacentral:rRNA from 1 species